UACGAAGGGGGCUAGCGUUGCUCGGACUCACUGGGCGUAAAGGGUGCGUAGGCGGGUCUUUACGUCAGGGGUGAAAUCCUGGAGCUCAACUCCAGAACUGCCUUUGAUACUGAGGAUCUUGAGUUCGGGAGAGGUGAGUGGAACUGCGAGUGUAGAGGUGAAAUUCGUAGAUAUUCGCAAGAACACCAGUGGCGAAGGCGGCUCACUGGCCCGAUACUGACGCUGAGGCACGAAAGCGUGGGGAGCAAACAGG
rnacentral:rRNA from 1 species